AGCGAACGCUGGCGGCAGGCCUAACACAUGCAAGUCGAACGAACUCUUCGGAGUUAGUGGCGGACGGGUGAGUAACACGUGGGAACGUGCCUUUAGGUUCGGAAUAACUCAGGGAAACUUGUGCUAAUACCGGAUGUGCCCUUCGGGGGAAAGAUUUAUCGCCUUUAGAGCGGCCCGCGUCUGAUUAGCUAGUUGGUGAGGUAAAGGCUCACCAAGGCGACGAUCAGUAGCUGGUCUGAGUGGAUGACCAGCUACAUUGGGACUGAGACACGGCCCAAACUCCUACGGGAGGCAGCAGUGGGGAAUCUUGCGCAAUGGGCGAAAGCCUGACGCAGCCAUGCCGCGUGAAUGAUGAAGGUCUUAGGAUUGUAAAAUUCUUUCACCGGGGACGAUAAUGACGGUACCCGGAGAAGAAGCCCCGGCUAACUUCGUGCCAGCCGCCGCUGUAAGAC
rnacentral:rRNA from 1 species